GCUUGCCUUGCAUGUCUAUAUCAUAAUCUCUGUUUAGCAGUUAUUGGAGUAAAAAGAAAAAAUCUUAGUGGCCCCCUCACAUUGUUGCAGAUUUGGGCAUGGUCUCGAUUACAUAUGUUGGCUCCUCGAAUUAAAUCAAUAAACUCUAUUGUUCUCGAUCCUCAAAUGCUUGCUAAUGGUGUAAUGCUUCCUGCUGCGCCUUACGGAGCUAGGUGGGCUCGGGGUAAACAUGAUUUUACUCCAACUGUUCAUGGUUGUGUGG